CACGACCAUAUCACAAUGAAACACUGGUUCUCGUAUGAUCACCGUAGUUAAGUAACGUGGAGCCUGGUCAGUAACUGAGUAAGUGACCGCUAGGGAAUUCCGGAUG